rnacentral:rRNA from 1 species
AAACUGAAGAGUUUGAUCCUGGCUCAGAUUGAACGCUGGCGGCAUGCCUUACACAUGCAAGUCGAACGGCAGCACGGGUGCUUGCACCUGGUGGCGAGUGGCGAACGGGUGAGUAAUACAUCGGAACAUGUCCUGUAGUGGGGGAUAGCCCGGCGAAAGCCGGAUUAAUACCGCAUACGAUCUAUGGAUGAAAGCGGGGGACCUUCGGGCCUCGCGCUAUAGGGUUGGCCGAUGGCUGAUUAGCUAGUUGGUGGGGUAAAGGCCUACCAAGGCGACGAUCAGUAGCUGGUCUGAGAGGACGACCAGCCACACUGGGACUGAGACACGGCCCAGACUCCUACGGGAGGCAGCAGUGGGGAAUUUUGGACAAUGGGCGAAAGCCUGAUCCAGCAAUGCCGCGUGUGUGAAGAAGGCCUUCGGGUUGUAAAGCACUUUUGUCCGGAAAGAAAUCCUUGGCUCUAAUACAGUCGGGGGAUGACGGUACCGGAAGAAUAAGCACCGGCUAACUACGUGCCAGCAGCCGCGGUAAUACGUAGGGUGCAAGCGUUAAUCGGAAUUACUGGGCGUAAAGCGUGCGCAGGCGGUUUGCUAAGAC